GAUUUUUUAUCUCUGAUUUUCUGCAGGUUGCAGGAGCUGACCGUUUGCUUUGAUUUUAACGUAGACGUGCACGACAUCGAGCUCAUCCAGUACAUCAAAGUGGACUGCUGUAAAUUGAAACGCCUUCUGCAAGGUUUGAUUGACUCAAACUCAGGUUUUAAUAUUCUGAAAUAAUAUAUGAAAUAUAAUCUAUUUUUCUUUUAAUGUGUCAAGUCUUUUCUUCUUGCAGAAAGUGUGUUUAAAUUUAAAGCCUUAAAUAAGCCAGCCCAGUUGAGUGCUAUCUACAAUUUAGAGAAGAGUUUGACGUUUAAGGACAAAAUGAUUGUGAAACUCAUCCAUGCAGAUCCCAAAUUGAUGCUACAUGUGAGUGGAGAGACUUAGCUUUCUUUGGCUUUAUAAAGACAUGCUCUGAGUCUGCUGUACUAUUCAUGUCAGGACAGGAGUGUUUGUGAACCUGAAUCUAGGUAAACAGGUUCUGGAGGUCCACAGCAGCACUACAGAUCUCAUCACAGGCCUGGUGCAGAUUGUGCCGCUUGAGAACAUGGGAGAUAUUUCCCAGGAGGCCUUGGAGGUAAGGUCAUUGAAUCUCGCUGUGUAUCUGGUGCAUCUAGCAUGAGUUCAGAUAGUCUAUAUGUAAGUUUUCAGUCGUAAUCUGUGUCUGUUUUAGGCUCUUCUGGUCCUGCAUCAGCCUGAAAGCAUCGAGCUUUGGAACCCAGACGCUCCUGUGAAAACUUUCUGGGACAUCAGGUAGCUUGUGGUAGCAUCACUUUGCCGUGUUGAUUGUGUAUGUGUUGUUGGAUCAGUUCUCAUGAACUGCUCUCUUCUUCAUCUGUAGGAAGCUGUUUGGUCUGCAGCUGAUCAGCAGCACUGAGAUUCUGAAGUGGAUUCAAAAGAUUCUCACCUGCACAAACACAUUUCUUCUCAGGAACAAAGAUCAGGCCACAGCAGGCAGUCACAUCACCAUCUGCCUGCAGGCCUAGACCAAGCUGGAGGUCUGUCUUUACAUGUUCCCGUGGAGUCCAGACACGGAGGCAGUUCUGGUGGACAUGUCCUGUUUCCACUACCUGUGUGAGUGUUUCAUGGUGUUUGCAUCCGUCAGUAACAUGAUG
rnacentral:lncRNA from 1 species